AUUCGGAAAACUCAAUAAUAUGGACCGUAGAUACGACGGCCAACACAAGUAUCUUUUGUAAAGUUGAUCUGGUGAACAAAACCACUGAAAAUUACACCGAUUUCUUAAGAUUGUAUUUCUAUGGGGAAAACCUCACCAAGACCUACCUAGAAGGAAAGUUCUUGAAACUUGACUUUCUGAGGCAAGGUAAAAACGUGUAUGAUGCAAUGAUGGUUGGCCCCAAAGGAGGCUUAACCACGUCGAUUGAGCAGCUACAGGACGUGUACGGAAAUUAUACCUGCGGCAUCUUCAAGGUAUCGCUACCUUGGAGGGAUGAUUUUCACUAUGAAGUUCGUGUCAAGAAUUCGACCAUUGAACAUCCAAACGCAAGUUGUGUGAACGAAUUUAAGCGUCUUUCGCAAGGAAAGCACAGAACCUUGUAUAACGAUUCUUGUCAGCACACUUGAUCGAAUUGAGAAGACAGUAAUAUUAAAAUAUAUCUAAAACCGGACGAUAGACAACCAUGAAAUCGGCCUGCAGACAUCAGUAAUAUUCAUUUACAGUAUAUGGGAGUAAAAAUAUUCGCCUUUGUAUAGAUCAGAUAUGGCAGAUUUAAUGCUAAGAUAAAUUUCUCGAUUUCCUUCUUUUUUUAAGAUAGAUCUUUAUAGGUUCUACAAAUUAUCGUCUUAGAAAUAAUAAAAGUUCGCUGACUUC